GAUGAACGCUGGCGGCGUGCCUAAUACAUGCAAGUCGAGCGAACAGAUAAGGAGCUUGCUCCUUUGACGUUAGCGGCGGACGGGUGAGUAACACGUGGGUAACCUACCUAUAAGACUGGAAUAACUCCGGGAAACCGGGGCUAAUGCCGGAUAACAUUUAGAACCGCAUGGUUCUAAAGUGAAAGAUGGUUUUGCUAUCACUUAUAGAUGGACCCGCGCCGUAUUAGCUAGUUGGUAAGGUAACGGCUUACCAAGGCAACGAUACGUAGCCGACCUGAGAGGGUGAUCGGCCACACUGGAACUGGGACACGGUCCAGACUCCUAAGGGAGGCAGCAGUAGGGAAUCGUCCGCAAUGGGCGAAAGCCUGACGGAGCAACGCCGCGUGAGUGAUGAAGGUCUUCGGAUCGUAAAACUCUGUUAUUAGGGAAGAACAAAUGUGUAAGUAACUGUGCACGUCUUGACGGUACCUAAUCAGAAAGCCACGGCUAACUACGUG
rnacentral:rRNA from 1 species